GCGGGGAGGGGAGGGGAGCCGAGCUCCGGGUAGUGAGGGGAAGGCCCCGCCGCCUAGAGCCCCGCGCUCCGGAAGUGAAGCGGCCAGACCACCCGCUAAUGGAUGCGGAGCGGAGGGUCGGCUGACCGAUCUCUGCGCCGGGGUAAAGAUUGCCUUUGGAAGAAGAAGCCACCCAAAGGGGAGCUUGGCUUGGCCGGAGCUAAGAAAGACCCAAACACAUCCAUUGCGUGGAGCUGGGUGACAUCUUCCUUUUCUGGAAGCUGAAUAAAUAAGCUGGUGACUCUCACAGGACAGUGGAGCGCCUGAACAGGUAUCUGUUCACAUCUGAUUUCAUUUUUCACAUGGGGAAAAUCUUGAGUCCUGUCCAUCCAUAACCGGGGCUCAGACGUUAAUUGGCAUGACUGAUGAGUGGAAGGUGGGGGAGCCAGACGUGGGAGGGUCCCCAAGAGAACUCUAAGCAAAGGAGAGGUCUGACAGAGUGGGACACGUGCAAAUCCAACGUGAGACGGAACCCCUAGUCUCCCCCCACUUCUGUCCUGAACCAAAGCGCAGUGCUUCCUGGGAAAGAGAGGGCUGUGUGGUAAAACUGACCAUUGUUUCACUAGGAGUCCAAGCCUGCUGUGACACUUCUCUCCGGGAGUUCUGGGUGCCAGAGUGGAGGCCUUACCCCGCUAGCUAGCAAAAGGAGAGGUGAGGAGAGGCAGCAGAAACUGGGGGAGUCACAAAAGCAGCUCUUGCAGGUGCCUCGGGCAGUCGGAGAAGGGUCAGUGCCACCGUGUGGCUGCCAGCGUCGGGGAGAGCAUCAGCGGCCACCGGACUGCAGAGCCACAGGCAGUGAUGCUGUCCUAGCUGAGUUCUUGCCCCCGGGCAAGUAAGGGUGAUUGGUCCAGAAGACUUUGGGGCCGCUGUUGGGGUGGCCUGGGACCCAUUCCCUGGUGGGGUGCAAGUUCAGGAGCUGAGCCAGGAUAUUCUGAGUCCUGAUAGGCAGUGCCUGUCCACACCACAAACUAAUCGGUACCCCCAGAG
rnacentral:lncRNA from 1 species